CCUACGGGUGGCAGCAGUGAGGAAUAUUGGUCAAUGGGCGGAAGCCUGAACCAGCCAAGUAGCGUGCAGGAUGACGGCCCUACGGGUUGUAAACUGCUUUUAUACGGGAAUAACGCGCCUUACGUGUAGGGCUUUGCAUGUACCGUAUGAAUAAGGACCGGCUAAUUCCGUUCCAGCAGCGGCGGUAAUACGGAAGGUCCGGGCGUUAUCCGGAUUUAAUGGGUUUAAAGGGAACGUAGGCCGCAUGUCAAGCGUGCUGUGAAAUGUCCGGGCGCAACCCGGGCCUUGCAGCGCGAACUGGCGUGCUUGAGUCCGCGGAAAGCAGGCGGAAUUCGUCGUGUAGCGGUGAAAUGCUGAGAUAUGACGAAGAACCCCGAUUGCGAAGGCAGCUUGCUGCAGCGGAACUGACGCUGAUGCUCGAAAGUGCGGGUAUCGAACAGGAUUAGAUACCCCAGUAGUC
rnacentral:rRNA from 1 species